GAAGAAGAAGGAAGCGCAGUGUCGGAGGCAGCAGGGUAUUUCUCACCAGCGUGUGUUCUUCUUAAACUGACAAAACGUCUUACGCAAUGAGAGGAGAUCGUGGCAGGGGCCGGGGUGGCCGGUUCGGCUCCCGCGGAGGUUUGAUCCAGGGGUAUCGGCCCUUUGUCCCUCACAUACCAUUUGACUUCUAUGUCUGUGAGAUGGCCUUUCCUCGAGUGAAGCCGGCCCCUGAUGAGACUUCUUUAAGUGAAUGUCUGGUGAAGAGAAACCAAGACCUCUCUCCUACCUCUGCUGAACAGGUACACUGAUUCUGCAUUG